ACAUAUUUUAGUGUCAUAUUCAAAUAAGAAAUUAUUUUUUUACUUUUAAAUCUAAAAAUAUAGUUUUUAUAUACAUUUAUUAAUUUUAAGUUUAACUAAAUUUAUACCCGUGAUUAACUUUUAUAUAAGCUGCACCUUGAUCUAAUUAUUUAAUAAUUUAACUAGUGAAAAAUUAUUUUUAAAUAAUCUCUGUAAAUGACGGUAUACAAACUAAAAAUAAUAAAAGAAAAACUAAAACGUGAAGUAUCAUUUAUAUCAUAGGUUUCUCUAAUAGAAAAUAAAAUACCGUCAAAUUUUUUAAGUUUCA
rnacentral:rRNA from 1 species